rnacentral:tRNA from 1 species
GCCGAUAUAGCUCAGUUGGUAGAGCAGCGUACUUGUAAUACGAAGGUCCCGAGUUCGAAUCUUGGUAUCGGCACCA